rfam:Candidatus Blackburnbacteria bacterium RIFCSPHIGHO2_01_FTLL_43_15b rifcsphigho2_01_scaffold_1390, whole genome shotgun sequence.
GUUCUCUGUGUAGUAUGUUGUCAAAGAGAUUGUGCUAAAGGAAGCAGGUGUAACUCCUGCACUGUGCCGCAACCGUAAUCCUGAGCGUAGUCGAAGGAAAGUCGGAAAACUAGCAAUCCAAGAAUCCCGAGC